rnacentral:lncRNA from 1 species
CUUGCCUGGUUCAUCAGAGUCUUGAAAUCUUCUGGUCCUUCUCCAAGUACUCCGUCUACUUCGUCAACUAACGUUGGAAACAAACACAAUAAGCAACACAACAAGGCAAGAAUAAAUGUGCUCUAAAAAUGUGAAGUUGACUUUUAUUGGAUACCUCUGGUCAUAUGAGGAAUGACCAAAGUGAUUUCAUUGGAAGUGGAUCAAUGGAUAUUUCUAAACAUUUCGAUAUGAUGGAAUCAAGGGGUUUAUGGAAUUGCAAGAAGUGUACAGAAGAAUUAUUUUGAAAAAAAUGAGCAAAGGCACCCAUUUAACAAAGGAUGAUUUUAGAAGCAUCUAGGAAUUGGUUUCACUGGAUCUGGAGUUGAGAUCAUUUUCCUAUGAAUUUGCAAAGUUGGCUAUAUACAAAGAAAUAGACCAUUAUUUGAGGUGAUACAGAAAGUAUUAGUAAAAAUGUUCAAAAACUAAGUUUUGAACUUAUAGACAUCUAGGAUUUUGAAUCAUGGAAUUUGGAUCAAAAAUGGGCUCUCUUUGAUUUUCUAAAGUUUAUCACAGAAAUAGGAAAAUGGGGAUUUGAUAAAUAGUUGUGAAGAAGAAGUCUCUGGAAAAAUGUGCAUGUUGCACCAACAGGUAGAGCAUGAUUUUAUGAGUUACUAGAAAUUUGAAUCAUCCAAUUUGGAGUCCAUUUGAAUUGUUUAGAGAUUUUUGAAGUUCACUGGAUAAAGAAAAUGAGAAAAAGGGUUUUAUACCUAAUCUCACGUGCUGAGCGUAAUUUAGCCGGGCAGCGCACUGGGCCUGGCCCAGCUACUCGCGAACCCCCGAUGGGAGGCCACGCCGAAGGAAUAUUUGCGGGUAACGCUUUCCCCGAAGGGAAGCGUAGAACGGCUGGCCCGUUUCCACUUAAAUGACGUGGCCGGCCGGCGGGGUCACUGACCUGCGGGGCCCACCCACAGGGUCUUCUUCCUCGUCCCGCGCUCGCGAUAGGAGGGGAUCGAGCCCGUCUACGCGCCGGCCGGCGCCUUCCCCCGGCGACACAGGCCACCUCUGGCCAAGCUGCGGCCACCGGAGGGGUCGCCAGGGAGCGGCGCAUCAGGGGAUCCCCGGGGAUGGCAGGGAGGGUGGCCGAGGCGUGGCGGGCACUGGCCAAGGCGGGCGGACACCCAGGCGAUGAUGGGCAGGGGCACAGUGCCCCGGCGGUCAGGGAGAUGGGGGGGAAAGGGUCGCCGGACCCUGGAUGCUUUCCUGGUGAGGAGAGGAGGAGGGGAGAAGCCCGCCCUUGCCCGAAUCGGAGUGGAGGCCGGCGGCGGCACUCCGGCCAUGGAAGGUGCUGGAGGGCACGAGGGGGAGAAGGAGGAUGUCUGAGGGGUGCACGGGAGAGAGGAGGUUCGAAACCAAGCGAGAGAGAGGGUCGGGGUGGCUUAAAAUGGGCGAGGCCGCGGUGCACCAUGGGCAGCGUCCAUGGACGUGCUCGGGUGAGCUCAUGGAGGGAGAAGGAGGGCGAGGGAGGAAGGGGCCGACAGUGUUGCGUGUCGUGGACACCGAGGCGGCCUCGGGGGACACGAUUCCGGAGCCCAAGGUCGACGGGAGGCCUUGGAAUGGGCGUGCUACAGUGCCGGAGAGCACUGUAGCGUGCUCCAGAGCGCGAGCUCUGCACGCCAUGGCAUUGUUUAUGUGCCAGGGGCGUGUCCACUAGUGUCUGGGGCUUUGUGGGGUGAGUAAACAAAGGGGAGGAAGCAUUGGAUGCCAUGGAGGGCCACUGGAAUGAGGAGGGAGGUGAGAAGGGAGGAGAAUGCUGCUGUCCAGAAGGGUAAAUGGGGUGUUUUACCCCUCAAUCAUUGAGCUGAGGCCAGGGAAGAGUUACUGGAGAUAGGAGAAGACUAGGAGGAGCUGUGGUAAAAAUUUGAGGUCAUGGAGAAGAGUGGAAGUGGUCAAAAUGAUGAUUUUGGAAAAAUGGCAGAAGGUGUUUGUUGUUGGUUUGGGCAAGAAAAUUAAUUCCACUUGCCAUGAGAAUUAACAGGAUGGAAUGGCACAUGGAAGUAGGGUGUUCCACCAAGUUUGAGCUCAUUUGGGCAAAGUAGCCAAUGCAACUUUGGUAAACCCUAGAAAUCAGCAGAAAUGGCUUUGCCAAGAUCUAGUCAUGCAAAUCUAUUCUCCUUGAUGCACCACUUGGUGUAGUAUCAUCAUUUGAGGAUUUGACCAUGUCCACAAAAAUUCAGAUCAAAAGGACACACUUGGAAAUGUAGAGUUGUCCAAAUUUGGUUCUGGACAGGAAGGGUUUUGGGGCACUUUGAUCAAGUUAACUUGUUCUCCAACUUGUGCCAUUUGGUCUAGAUUAAUUAUUAGACCAUUUGAGCAUGUUCACAAGGUUUGAGAGCAUUUGGACAUGUUUGGCAAUGUAAAGUUGCUCAAACUUCAAAAUGGACAGAAAUGGUUUUGAGGGGAUUUCAUGGAGUUUUACUAUUCUCCAUGACAUGAUACUUGUCAAGAUCAUCAAACAUGUCAUAUGUGACAUGCUAGAAUUUUCUUGGAAUUUUUGGAGAAUAUUUCCUUUGUAAAUAUUUCAAAAGCUUGAAAUAUCCAGAAAGGGUUUUUGAGGGAUUUGACCAAUAUUUUGAACAUGACCAUGUGUUGAAACUCUUAUAUAUGGACAAUAUAUGUCCACUGAGUUUCCCUAGGUUUUUGUCAAAUUUUUUUAAAGCAAUAAAAUAAUUUUUCCCUAUUAAAGACCAUUUCUGGCCUUAAGAAAAAGCUUUUAAAUAAAAUAGUAAAAUAACCUUUAAAAUUAUAUUUUUGUGGUUUCUGGGUAUCCUAUAUCUAAUAGGAGUCAAAUAUAUUUUUGGAAAGAUUUUUACUGCCCUUAAUUAAGUACUUGCAGUGCAAACCUCAAUUCAGGGGUUUUUGAAAAACUAAUUUUAGAAAAUACUUUUUGGCCAAAUUAUUUUUGCAAGAAAUUAUUUUUAUAUCCUAUACACAUGGCAUGAUCAUUGGGAAAGGUUUUUGGAGCAAGGAGAUGAAGUAUAGAAGUUGGAGGAUUUAUUUGAUUUUUAGAGCACUUGCAAACAGCAAACAAAAAUCCAAUCAAGCAAAGCCAAAACACUCAAAAGUUUUUGUCAAACCACAUUUUAGCAUGAUUUAAUGACUUUAAGUGUUGUGCCAUGAAAAUCAGGGUGUGACAGACCUACCCCCCUUACAAGAAUCUCGUCCCCGAGAUUCCCAAACUAGGCAUGGAAAGGAAUAUGAAAACUGGAUCCGGGGUAGUCUUCAAGUCCUCAUGUUGCUUCUGCUUCUGAGUGGUGCUCCAUUGAAUCUUGAAAGACCUGGUGUUGUAGCUACGUGUAUGACGCUCUCGGUUGAUCCAGGUUGCUGAGGGGUCUCUCGCGUUAGGUCAGGUUGGACUAGGGGUCGAUGGCUCGGUGGUCAAUGCCCUCGUAGAGAUCGGGCAAGUUAGGAAGUUGGAAACACUUCUGGGGUUGUGAUGCAUGGAAAGUGUUGUGCACAUUAGGUAACUCAAGUGUUAACUCCAGCUGGUAACUGUCUUCUCUUCAUCUCAUAGUGAUCUCAGAGGGGGUUGUUAAAUCUUGGAGUGAUCUCGAAGGGGGCCGAUGAAUCUUGGUGUGGGUCUCCUUGUCAUGGAAAUGCUUGGUUCCUUAGAGAGAAGUGGCUUGCAGAUACACCUGGGCUUCGACACGGAUGUUUACUUCUUGAUGAUGGUGGUAGUUCUUCCUCCUUGGCAUGGCGGUCUUCAAAUGUCCCUGGACUAGCUGAACGGCUCUUCUCCUGUCUUCAGGCGGACAAGUAGGUCACCAAAUGAUGAUGACAACUAUCUUGUCUAAGCACUCCAUGAAGUCUAUGGGGUACGUAAAGUGGGCUGAGGCAUUGGUGAUGGUCAUGGUUGAGCAUUGGCCAAGGUCUUAUUGAUCUAGAGCCAAAGCCCAAGGUCAGGAUCCGACCAUGUUGUGGCUUGGUAGGGCUUAAGGGUUUCAAGGAUUCUAGUGCGCGAGUGAAUGUUUAUCAUCCCAUCCCUGAGCACAGUUUCUGAGAUGCCAAUACUUCUACCUAGUCUUCACCUCAUAUUACCAAAAGAAUCAUCUUGUAUAGGUCAACUCCAAUCAUCACUCAUGUGAUGCAUAUCCUCAUGGCUCCUGAGAGGAGGUCUAACAAAAUCAUAUAUGUCUACGAUCCCCAAACUCAUGUGUGUGGCUACCCCUAAAAAUCCAUGGGUAGAGCAUACAGGCUGCUAAGUUUGAAUGUGACAAUCCAAGUGCUCAGCCUGUUCUUCCAAGGUCUAAGAUAAAGCACCUCUAUCCUAAGGAAACAUGUCGUAAGCCACUCCAAGAUCUUGUUUCCUUCCUAUGAAUCAACUCCAACAACGUGUUAACUUCCAUUAAUCACUACAUAAUCCAUUAAUUCUACAAAUCCAAUGCCUAUGCUAGUGUUCCACAUGAUCUUCUAAAGUCCUUAUAAUCCCCGAAUACUUGAAAGAGCUAUAUUUACUAUAGUCAGUCCACCAAUUCCCAUCCUUGGGGUCAAGUAACUUCCAAGGUCAAGCUUAUAUCAACUCCGACAAUUAAUCCAAUCUCCUAGUUUAUUGUCCUCCAAGAAACAUGGUAUCAUGAUCGAGAUCAUCAGUCUAAAUCCAAUUUACUCUGAACCAUGUAGACUUACUCAUCACCUAUACUCAACUAGGAUCACCUAUUUAAAUCCAAAUCUCAUGUCCAACAAGAAUUCCUACAUGCUUCCCCAAAGUCAUUAUCAUAAUGGCAACUAUCUCCUAUCAAUAUCCCCUGGCUAAGUCAAAUCCUCAUACUUCCAAGAAUUCAGCUUGCAAUCUUAAUUGUCCCACUAAAUCCAAUUUACUCAGGGGUAAUGAAAGCUAUGCUACUCUAUAAUCAUGAUCCCACCAAGUUCAUCUACCAAUAUCAAAGCCUCAUAAUCCACCAAGUAGUCUCAUAUAAUUCCUCAAGUCAUUGAUAUAAACUCAUCAAGUCAUUUGCCCUCUAUUCCUAUAUCCUCAGAUUGGUCCUCCCCAUGGCAUCGUCGGUUCUGGUGCUACCUUAGGAUGGUAAUGUGCUCAUUCUCUACGUCCACUAGUUCCAUAAUGAACCCAGUGAUAAGCAAGGCUUACUGUAGCUUAACUUGUUCUCUUGUGAUUCCGUAGGUUAAGCUCAGGGUUAAGGUUUCAAGCUGGGGUAUCUCGUGAAGUCUCAAAGGGUUUAGGAAUGGGUUCCUAAUCUUGAGGGUUAAACAUAAUUCUACGGAGUUGCAUUUGGUCGAGGAGGCUGCAACAAAAAGUCUUCAGUGCUAGUUGGUCGCCGAAGGAGACUCCUUGGUGCAUCUUGUCUUGCUUGUCUUCAGUUGAGGAAAGAGAUGAGAGGGAAAAGUAGCAUAGAGGAGGGGAAUGCCUAAAGGGGGUUCUAUAGUGCUAGUGUAAACAAACAGGUGCAAAGAGGGCCAAACAAAAGAAACAAGGUGAGGAAGGUGAUAUAGUCGCAUACUUGUCGCCUAGGGCAAAAGUGCGACCUAUAUCAAAACACAGACAAAUAAAAACAAGCAACACACAAUCAUGGUUCUAUUCGAACUAUCAUACAGACUCGACUGCGCAUAGGGGGUACACGACUCAUCCUACCCUAGGGGUUCUCGGACUCAGUAGUCGUGCCUUGUGCCUCAUGCAGUCUUUUGAGUUUUCCUCAGGUGUUGCUACGUCUCUUGUAGUUGCUCGAUGAAACAAUCCGGGUUGAGCCUGAAGAUUCUUCAACAACUUCUCGCCUGUUGAAGUGAUGGGGUGAAGGUGGCCCCUCAUAACUGGCAUUGACUUGGUCUUCUAUUGUCUUCUUAAUCACGACGAUCCCUUUUUGUCUUCUAAGCCGUCGAUGGUACCAGGUAGGUAAUCCUUUAUGCAAUGACAUUAUCAAGGCGUAAUAGAUGUCCAUCAUGUCGGUUACGUUGAUGACAACAUCGACACCAAGAGCGGGGGAUGAGGAGAACCGUUUUCCUGCUCACUAUGGUGAGGCGGACCAAAUGGCUAGGUUCUCAUCCAUCGGUGGUUGCCGAUACAACAACGGUAGUGACAGGGUUACUCUAUUAGCGAUGUAUAUCAUGAUCUUGCAUAUCCUAUGCCCUAAUCAUCGUAGGCUAAGGUUGCAUCAUCUUGGGGCAGUGUCAAGGGUGUCACCAUCUCCUGGGUCUUCAGGUCCUCAUUCCUCGAGGAUGUAUCUUCUGUUGGUAUCGUCUCGUUGUGAUGUCGCCAAUAUUGUGUUCAGGAGAUGUGGGUGAAUGCCUGACAAGGCAUCUUCCUUCCAGAUUAUCCGCAAGGAUUACAAGGAAUCCUGUGGUCAGGGGCAUAAGGGUUCUAGCGACCAAAGGUUUUGAAUGGGAAGAGACCAAUAAGGAAAGUAUACCUUAGUUUUCGAAAAACUGAGAAGGGAAGAGAAGUACAGAUAGUUUUGAAAACUAGUAGUAGUUUUGGAAAUAGUUUUACCCUAACUAACGACCACGCUAACUAAGGCUUCCUACAGUCAGGAUGGCUCUGAUACCAGCUCUGUGGGGACCCCGACUCAUGAGUCGUGAUCACCGAAUGCACGUGUAUAGUGAUCCCAGAGAUCAAUGCUCACUUAACACAGAGAAGCUGAAUAACAAGAGUCUUACAUCCAUACAUACCGUCUUACACAAAUUAUGACCAUUAUGGUCAAGUCUUACAUUGAUAAAGCCUUAAGGGCUGAACAUCAAAUGAAACACAAGCAGCGGAAAUCUUCGUUGAUAAGUAGAACCCAUGCCAUCUGCCUUAACCCUACAGGCAUUCUGACUGGGAAACGUCCUAGUUCGCAUGUUCGUCUCCAAAGAACUCUUCUUCGAACUCCGGUUCUUCCAUGCCUGGUCAAUUAAAUAACCAAUGGCAAGCCAAUGAGUACUUUGAAUGUACUCACAAGCAACCCAUGUUUUGGUUCAAGAUACAACAAUGCUUGAUAUAGGUAAAUUUUGCAGAAAGCUAGUUUUGAGUGCAAUGACAUGUUCAACAACUGUGUAAGGCAUGCAUCAAGAGAAUUCAAGUAACCAUGAGGACAGGUUACAGAUAUCAACAUAAAUAGAGUGGGCACCAACCCAUCUAACAUAAAUAGAGUGGGCACCAACCCAUCUAACAUAAAUAGAGUGGGCACCAACCCAUCUCAAUCAUGUCAAGUCCCUUGACUUGACCCAAGUCAUUUUAUCAACACACACGCUUGGUUUGUAAACAAGUGGACGUAGCCCAAGAGCGGUUACCCAACUGUCCUUGACCGUGGACACGGCUAUUCGAAUAGUUUUACACUCUGCAGAGGUUGCACACUAUACCCACAAGAUCCGGGGAACUUCCGUGUCAGCCACGACCCGCGGUACCUCAAGUACCCGGGUUAAGCACCCGAUCACUACCUUUCCCUAGACGACACUAACAAGGAGUCCACUUGUUGCUCCGUAUCCUCACGAUGCACAUCAUACGAGACUCACUCGAGAUCGUAACAUCCGAGAGGGGACGCAAUGGUGUAUCCGGUGCCCUGUGAAAACAGUCAUGGCCGCCCAACCUGGCACGACCCCGUCCCGAGAGAGCACACCAACAACUCUCCCGUCACUAGUAAUGCGGGCUCCAAGCUAGUAUCAGUCUAGGUAAUCAAUAAUGCCCUUUCCCAUAUAAGGGUAGAGUGGUUGCACAUGUAAGGUUGGAAUAACGGUCGCAACUUAAACCAAUCCGUUUUUGAAAAUAACACACACACUUGCCUCGGUACACCACUUCGUCAUCAAGUGGCUACCCAACUCAUCAUCUCCCUCGGGCAUAAGUGGCACCCGACGGGGUUUUUGAAAAGUCCUUUGAAAAUACUUUGUCUCCAUCACCAUGCAUAUUCCCGUCCCUUUUGCGUAGCAACUACUUUAGCAUCCUACCUACUCCCACCGGCAUAACCCUCAUAAGAAGGUAGGGUCAUGCACAAUGCAAGUAUGAACAAGGAAUUAACGGUGGCAAACCAUCAACGUGGGUACCACCUCAUCAUGAUUCCGAUGCAACAAUAAUAAAGAGCUAUAUGACAUGCAUAAAAAGGGUUUCAUAGACAUGGUCAAAGGGCUGCUUGCCUGGUUCAUCAGAGUCUUGAAAUCUUCUGGUCCUUCUCCAAGUACUCCAUCUACUUCGUCAACUAACGUCGGAAACAAACACAAUAAGCAACACAACAAGGCAAGAAUAAAUGUGCUCUAAAAAUGUGAAGUUGACUUUUAUUGGAUACCUCUGGUCAUAUGAGGAAUGACCAAAGUGAUUUCAUUGGAAGUGGAUCAAUGGAUAUUUCUAAACAUUUCAAUAUGAUGGAAUCAAGGGGUUU